rnacentral:rRNA from 1 species
GUGGGGAAUCUUGCGCAAUGGGCGAAAGCCUGACGCAGCGACGCCGCGUGGGUGAUGAAGGCCUUCGGGUCGUAAAGCCCUGUCAAGAGGGACGAAACCUCGUCGACCCAAUACGUCGGCGACCUGACGGUACCUCUGAAGGAAGCACCGGCUAACUCCGUGCCAGCAGCCGCGGUAAUACGGAGGGUGCGAGCGUUGUUCGGAAUUACUGGGCGUAAAGCGCGUGUAGGCGGCCUCCUCAGUCUGGUGUGAAAGCCCGGGGCUCACCCCCGGAAGUGCAUUGGAUACUGGGAGGCUGGAGUACCGGAGAGGAGGGUGGAAUUCCUGGUGUAGCGGUGAAAUGCGUAGAUAUCAGGAGGAACACCGGUGGCGAAGGCGGCCCUCUGGACGGAUACUGACGCUGAGACGCGAAAGCGUGGGGAGCAAACAGGAUUAGAAACCCGAGUAGUCC